GUGCGGGAGCGCUUCGGCGCACCAGAACCCUUUGUGAACUUAUACCUUCUGUUGCCUCGGCGCACGCCGGCCUUUGUCACAGAAGGCCCCCUGGAAACAUGGAGCACCCCGCCAGCUGCCGACUAAACUCUGUUUCUACCCUGAAUCUCUGAGUAAAAAACACAACUAAAUCAGAACUUUCGUCAACAGAACUCUUGGUUCUGGCAUCCCUCAAGAAUACCACAAAGUGCGAUGAGUAAUGUGAAUUGCAAAAAUCAUGAAUCACCGAAUCUAUAAAAGCAAUUGGAGUCCUCUGGUAUUCCCGACGGCACGCCAGUCCGAGCGUCAUUUCUUCCCUCAUGCCAGGCUUGUUGAUUGGGCACUGCCAGUGAAAGGGCAGGCCCUGAAAUCUAGUGGCGAGCUCGCCGGGACCCCCAGUGUACUAGUUAUCUUUUGUUAUGGAAGGCCCUGGGCGUCCCCUGCCCUUUAACCCCCAAUUCCCAAAAAUUUUACCGCUGAGCAGGAACGAGUACCCGCUAAAAUUCCUCCAAGCAACCCA
rnacentral:rRNA from 1 species